CAUUUUGCGGGAGUCUGGCCUUAAACGCAGUCAUCACCAUGGACUAAUCCAAAUUUCGCACCUCCAAAGUUGCAGCAUUGAAUUGGCUUAGGUAGUCUCGCAAAGAUUCAUUCUCUCUCUGCUUGAUACUACGAGAAAGUCUGAAUUACAUCGCUGUUGUCAGUUGCUGAUGAAAUGCACGAUGAAGAGCCAACUCAAUUGAUAGAAUAAAUC
rnacentral:lncRNA from 1 species